rnacentral:misc_RNA from 1 species
AACUCUCCCCCGAUCUCUUAAUGUGUUGUGUUAAAAUUUAGAUUAAGUUCGGGUAAGAACUCUCCCCCUGAACUCUUAAUGUGUUUAUUAGAAUGGCGUUUUAUAAGAACCUGGGACUAAAGAUUUAGGUAAAGGGUCCUUCUGGACCCCUCUUUUUUGGGAAUGGAGUACCGAAGACACAGAAAAUCCAUGUAAAGCUGUUCCUAGCCUACAGGACCUUAUAACUAGAUAGUGGG